CCUACGGGUGGCUGCAGUGGGGAAUAUUGGACAAUGGGGGGAACCCUGAUCCAGCCAUGCCGCGUGUGUGAAGAAGGCCCUCGGGUUGUAAAGCACUUUCAGUGAGGAAGAACGCCUGGUGGUUAAUACCCAUCAGGAAAGACAUCACUCACAGAAGAAGCACCGGCUAACUCCGUGCCAGCAGCCGCGGUAAUACGGAGGGUGCGAGCGUUAAUCGGAAUUACUGGGCGUAAAGCGCACGUAGGUGGCUUGAUAAGCCGGUUGUGAAAGCCCCGGGCUCAACCUGGGAACGGCAUCCGGAACUGUCAAGCUAGAGUGCAGGAGAGGAAGGUAGAAUUCCCGGUGUAGCGGUGAAAUGCGUAGAGAUCGGGAGGAAUACCAGUGGCGAAGGCGGCCUUCUGGACUGACACUGACACUGAGGUGCGAAAGCGUGGGUAGCAAACAGGAUUAGAUACCCGAGUAGUC
rnacentral:rRNA from 1 species